rnacentral:sRNA from 1 species
GUGGCUUUGUCUCCCGCGAAGAGAUGGCGGAGUCGUUGAGGUCUCCGCGCCGCUCCCUGUACAAACUGGUGGGCUCGCCGCCUUGGAAAGAGGCUUUCCGGCAGAGAUGCCUGGAGAGAAUGAGAAACAGCCGGGACAGGCUCCUAAACAGGUACCGCCAGGCUGGAAGCAGUGGGCCAGGGAAUUCUCAGAACAGCUUUCUAGUUCAAGAGGUGAUGGAAGAAGAGUGGAAUGCUUUGCAGUCAGUGGAGAAUUGUCCAGAAGACUUGGCUCAGUUGGAGGAGCUGAUAGACAUGGCUGUGCUGGAGGAAAUUCAACAGGAGCUGAUCAACCAAGAGCAGUCCAUCAUCAGCGAGUAUGAGAAGAGCUUGCAGUUUGAUGAAAAGUGUCUCAGCAUCAUGCUGGCUGAGUGGGAGGCAAACCCACUCAUCUGUCCUGUAUGUACAAAGUAAGAGUUUUUAAAACCUUUUCAGCAUUAUUCGUUCCCAUUCCCCACUCCAAGGUGAGUGGAAUCUCCCCCAAGAUUUGUUACCUGAAAAGGUUUGGAGAUCCAGGUCUGGUGGCCAUGAUGCUCUGGGAUCCUAAUUCUGCUUCUAGGUACAACCUGAGAAUCACAAGCGGUGUGGUGGUGUGUCAGUGUGGCCUGUCCAUCCCAUCUCAUUCUUCUGAGUUGACAGAGCAGAAGCUUCGUGCCUGUUUAGAGGGUAGUAUAAAUGAGCACAGUGCACAUUGUCCCCACACACCUGAAUUUUCAGUCACUGGAGGAACAGAAGAAAAGUCCAGUCUUCUCAUGAGCUGUCUGGUAAGCCUCUCCUGGGACCCACUCUGUGGUAAAGAGGGAACUGUGGUUGGUUUUAUUCCCACCUUGAUAGAAAUAAUGACCUAGAAACAGGUAAAUGUUUAAUGCGGUUUAUUAUCUGAGGAAUUUAUCUGCAUAGAAAAGUGAA